rnacentral:rRNA from 1 species
AUUGAACGCUGGCGGCAGGCCUAACACAUGCAAGUCGAGCGAGCGGCGGACGGGUGAGUAAUGUCUGGGAAACUGCCUGAUGGAGGGGGAUAACUACUGGAAACGGUAGCUAAUACCGCAUACCAUCAGAUGUGCCCAGAGGGGAUUAGCGAGUAGGGGGGGUAAAGGCUCACCUAGGCGACGAUCCCUAGCUGGUCUGAGAGGAUGACCAGCAACACUGGAACGAGGAAACGGCCAAGACUCCUACGGGAGGCAGCAGUGGGGAGUAUUGCACAAUGGGCGAACGCCGGAUGCAGCCAUGCCGCGUGUGUGAGGAGGGCCUUCGGGUUGUAAAGCACUUUCGGCGGGGAGGCGUUACCCGCAGAAUAAGCACCGGCUAACUCCGUGCCAGCAGCCGCGGUAAUUC